rnacentral:rRNA from 1 species
UACGGAAGGCAGCAGUGGGGAAUAUUGCACAAUGGGCGAAAGCCUGAUGCAGCUAUGCCGCGUGUAUGAAGAAGGCCUUAGGGUUGUAAAGUACUUUCAUCGGGGAGGAAAAACAAAACUAAUAAUUUUAUUUCUUGACGUUACCCGAAAAAGAAGCACCGGCUAACUCCGUGCCAGCAGCCGCGGUAAUACGGAGGGUGCUAGCGUUAAUCAGAAUUACUGGGCGUAAAGAGCACGUAGGUGGUUUUUUUAAGUCAGAUGUGAAAUCCCUGGGCUUAACCUAGGAACUGCAUUUUGAAACUGAAAUACUAGAGUAUCGUAGAGGGAGGUAGAAUUCUAGGUGUAGCGGUGAAAUGCGUAGAUAUUUUGGAGGAAUACCUGUGGCGAAAGCGGCCUCCUAAACGAAUACUGACACUGAGGGUGCAAAAGCGUGGGGAGCAAACAGGGAUUAGAUACC